UAAAACACAGGCUUUAUGUUGCAGAUAGAAUCUCAGUCUGCAACUGCUAUUUAUCUGCACCUAAAUUUAGGCAGUACUAUGUCAUCACGCUCAAAGGAGAAGAUGGCAGCUGCAUUCCGCAAACUUUUCCGGUCAUCCCAGAAGAUUAGGGACCCAGAAGGUGCUGUUGGAGGACAAGGAUGUUCCAGCAACAGUGGAUCCCCUGCCAGAAGACUGCUGAGUCGACAUGGCUAUCACAGAGACGCUGUCAUGCCAGCAGAGAGGAGUCCAGGAUUGGAUGGGCCCUCUUCGGGUUCUGGAAGUUACAAAUAUGUGACUGAUCUCUUUAGAUCUAAAAAGACAGGACCAGGAAGCUCAGAGAAACAGUCGUUGCUGAGUGGAAACAGUGGGGGGUCUCAGAGAACGGUCCGUUCUCGUAGACUGAUGAAGGAACUCCGAGAGAUUCAGAGGAUACAGCAGCAGUAUCAUCAAGACCCUGUUUUUACAGUGGAGCUCGUCAAUGAUAAUUUGUUUGAAUGGCAUGUCCGUCUCUAUAGGAUUGACUCAGACAGCGAACUUGCUAGUGAUAUGAGAGAUAUGGGCAUCCCAUAUAUACUAUUGCAUCUCAUGUUCCCAGACAAUUUUCCUUUUGCUCCCCCUUUUAUGCGUGUGAUAUCACCACGAAUAGAAAAGGGUUUUGUCAUGGAGGGUGGAGCCAUCUGCAUGGAACUCCUGACGCCUCGGGGCUGGGCCAGUGCAUAUACAGUGGAAGCUAUUGUCAUGCAGUUUGCUGCCAGCAUCGUGAAAGGGCAGGGACGUAUAGCCAAGAAGCACAAAGGGAGCAAGGGAUUUAAUCGACGUUCAGCAGAAGAAUCUUUCCGUAGCCUGGUAAAAACUCACGAGAAAUAUGGUUGGGUAACACCACCUCUUGCAGAUGGUUAACUGCAACUCAGAAUCAGUGACCACUGUGACCUUGGAGCUGAAGUCCCUCAUCAGAAAUAAUAACCAGCUUGAACACAAGUCAGAUCACCAGUAUUUUCACAAUGUCCAAUAUUUGUGACCUUUGUGAACUUUAUGCUCGACAUCUGCUUCCAUCAAGCUGUAUGAUGUAUUCAGUCUCUCAGUUGUAAUAUAUUAAAUUUUAUUGUGUGCCAAAAGUACUUAUUGACAGUGACAGAAGUUAUCCAAGUUUAUGCGUGGCUGUUAUAUGGAACAAUAGUAUAAAGUCAAGUAACUGAACAGGAAAAGGUAGUUGGAUUGUUUGAUGUAAUACCAGUGUUUAUGUGGAAAUCAAAAUUCCUUAGGUGCAGUGCAGUGUUACCAACACAUGUCCAUUUCAUAUAUUUGUGAAUGUUGUACAGUGAAUAAUCUGACCUUUCAACUACCUAUCUUCCAAAAUGUAUUAAUUAUUGUUAUUCCAAUACUAUUAUUUAUAAUAUUAUAAAGUACAUCUCAGACAAUAUAAAA